rnacentral:rRNA from 1 species
UACGAAGGGAGCUAGCGUUGUUCGGAAUCACUGGGCGUAAAGCGCACGUAGGCGGAUGUGUCAGUCAGGGGUGAAAUCCUGGAGCUCAACUCCAGAACUGCCUUUGAUACUGGUGAGCUUGAGUCCGGAAGAGGUGAGUGGAACUGCGAGUGUAGAGGUGAAAUUCGUAGAUAUGGGGAGGAACACCGGUGGCGAAGGCGACCAUCUGGACGAUACUGACGCUGAGACGCGAAAGCGUGGGUAGCAAACAGG